AUGUCAAGAGGCUUGCCUACCCAUUAUCUUUCUUUGAAUAUCAUGGACCUUCACAGAAAGAAGGAAAUUCACUAUACAUCUGCACAGUUAAGGGAUGCAAAAGAGAUAAACCAUUUUCCACCGUAAAAAAUUCCAGGGGAAAUCUUCGUUCUCAUGUUAAAUCGUGUCAUAAGGAGAAGCUAGAGGAAUUCAAUGCAGCUUGCAGGGAUCUUGAUUCAAAGAAGGCAAUGGCUACAGGUUUACCUAUCUCAACCAAUAACAGUGCCAAGGACGAUCAGAAUCAGUUGGAGGGAAACAACGAAACGCAACAGAAAUCCUUUACUCAACAAAAGAUUCAUUUUUCGGGUUACAGGAAACCAUUGACACAGAAGGAAUUGGACGCCUGCGUUACGAAAUAUCUUUGCGAUGGUGUUUUGCCCGUCUACCACACUGAGACAGAAGCUUUUCGAAUGUUUGUGAAAACGUUGGCCCCCCGAUGUAAAAGGAGAGGUCGG